AUUGAACGCUGGCGGCAGGCUUAACACAUGCAAGUCGAGCGAGCGGCGGACGGGUGAGUAAUGUCUGGGAAACUGCCUGAUGGAGGGGGAUAACUCCUGGAAACGGUAGCUAAUACCGCAUACCAUCAGAUGUGCCCAGAUGGGAUUAGCUAGUAGGUGGGGUAAUGGCUCACCAAGGCGACGAUCCCUAGCUGGUCUGAGAGGAUGACCAGCCACACUGGAACGGAGACACGGUCCAGCCGCCGACGGGAGGCAGCAGUGGGGAAUAUUGCACAAUGGGCGCAAGACUGAUGCAGCCAUGCCGCGUGUGUGAAGAAGGCCUUCGGGUUGUAAAGUACUUGCAGCGGGGAGGCGUUACGCGCAGAAGAAGCACCGGCUAACUCCGUGCCAGCAGCCGCGGUAAUUC
rnacentral:rRNA from 1 species